UAGUUUUCUAGUUUUAUUUUACUUGAACAAACUAUAUAGUUUUACAUGUUAAAUGCACAGGAGAUUGCAUGAUUUGAAUACAUGCCUUAUAAAUUUGUUUUAUUCAACGCACGUUUAAAAUGAAGCAAUCUCCGUUACUAUCUGCACACAAUGUUACAUUUCUCAGAAGCAUGAAUCAUAAGCACUAAAUCACACAUGCACAUGUGUAAAUGCACAAUUUGUCCUCUUUGUAGUUUCUGAACUUCAAAAAAAAGAUAUUAAUACAGCACCCACCACCACUAUGCAGAUGACACCUUUCUAAUCAUCUGAUCUAACAGGUGUGUAGGAAGUCUCUCUAAACGUACACAGACACAUGCGCACACAAUUUGUCCUCUGUGUAGUUUCUGAGUUUAAAAAAAAAUACAGCCCUCCAAACACAUAUGCACUGAUCCCACUGUGUGGGUGACACCUUUGUAAUAUUCUAACCUGUCUAAUCAUGUGAUCUAACCGGUGUGUAGAAAGCUCCUAAACACACACACACACACACACACACACACACACACACAAUUUGCAAACACAUAGGUGGGCACCACAACUAU